AUCUGCAUCCCACUUAGACCUCGGAAUCUCCUCUGUAAAUUCCACCUGCCUAGUUCUCCCCUUUUCAUCCUCUCUUCCCACAUCAUGAGAGAAGAAAACUUCUUUGUUCAAAAGGAAGAGAAAACAAAGCAUCUUAUUUUCUUUUUAAAAUUUUAAACCAUGGAAAAGAUAUUUUUAAAGAAAUCCACCCAGAACAUUAAAGUUCGUUAUAUUAAGUAUUUAUCAUGUGUGAGAAUAAUAAGUAUAUAACUGCAGCUAGUAGGUCCCUUUCCCUAAUCUCUUAGGCUGUAUGAGUAGGGUUUGCUUGGUGCCAGUCCUGUGCCCUUUUCUCUCCUGUCAUCUGUAGUUGUGAUCAGAAAAAGAUAUUCGCACUGCACUGUCAGAAUCUCCUUUCACUAUGUUGUGUGUUAAAUUACCGUAGCUCUUUGUUUCAUGAAAUAAACUGUGAAUUUGGGGGUGGGUGGGGUGUGUGCAGGCUAUGUAAAAAAAAUUAAGUGGAGAAGUUUGAUCCUGAAAUAGGCUUUGGUAGGUAAUUGACUUGACAUCCGCUCUCUAGAUAUGUCUCACAGGACAAGGAGUGAGGGAAAGGUGGGCCAUAAUUGGCCACUGUGAUUUUGUUUUGGUUCUUUCCAUUCUCCACCAUUUGCUGGAAACUUCCUUCCAGAACUGCCUGGGAAAACAACUUUUGAGGUGUGCUUGGUUUGGGGGUGAGGGUGGGGGGGUGGCAGUUCUUUAUCUAAAUGGAUAGACAACCAGGCUUUUGUGAGGGUUACUGAAAGGCUCUCAGGUAGAAUGGAAACUAGAAAUUCAGCUAUCAGGCCCACCUCAUACCUGAUACCAGAUUGUUAACAUCAAGAAAGCAGUCACCAUACAAUUAGAAGCAGAGCCAGAAGGACUGUUGGGAAAUUGAGACUCUUGCAUGAGGGUCAGUGGGGAGGGAGUAACCUUGCCAGCCCUUGGGGACUCUCCUGGAGCCCUGUACUGAGACCUUUUCUCCAGAGGGUGUGAAUUGGCAGUUAAAAGGAAAGCUUUUCUCUUAGAAUCCUGAUCUUUGUGUAGGGUGGUAUUUUGGUAUUUGGCCAAGUGCCUGGAAAUCAGGAUCUCAAGAGAAUGCCUCUGAGCCAGUCCCCAGGAAAUGUUUCCAAGAGGGAAGCCAUGGCUUCCAUAGGUUGCUAAAGAACCAAUAUGUCUCCUAGCCCUGUUAAGUCAAAAGGACUUUAUGGAAAUUUGAAUUCAAAGCCUCGUUUGCUUCUCCUUUGGAGAAACCCAUUCUAAUAGCAAAAUAGCUGUCAAAGCUACAGAAGUAUCCCAGGUUUUUAAAUGUCUGCUUCCCCCAUAAGUUACUGAGUUUGAGGUGAUUUAAGUCACUGUGUUGAUCCUCUAAUGAAUAACUACCAAAUCUGCAUCUUUAGCAUCGAUGGAAAUAAUUGUUUUAUCACAUUCUCUACCCCACACUACAGUCAGGGCACAAAGCGCAUCAGUGAUCCUUUCCCAGGUUCAGCAGCAUCUCCUUACUGGAACUGGACUCCCAGGUCACAUCAUGAGAACAGAAUGGCAGGAAGGAAGUAUGGUCCUGGCAGCUUCCCCUGUGGAAAGGAAUCAGGAAAGCACUAAACGUGGUUGGAUUUUGCCCUCCGCUCCUAUAAAGUGGGUUUUCUCCUAAGGCUUUUUUGGAGGAUAUUGUCAUCCUUUUGGGGUUUGUCAACCAGGAGGUCGGAGUGGCCCAGUGUCCUCACCUGAGGUCAUUGCAGGAAAGGAGCUUCCACAAGUCCCUUUUCCUGCUAAAUAAUGCUUGGGCUGCUUCAUGUGCUAGACAUUCCAGAUCACUUAGAGCUAGGUAGCUGCUGCACGAGACUGUCAUUGGUUAUGACCAAUUAGCUCUCAGCUGAGCUUCCUAGGGCCAUUGCAGCAGGGCCAGAGGUUGCUGUAGGACAGAUUGAAAUAAUAGAUAAUUGCUUUGAACACAAAAAAAUGUAAUGAUGGUGCUAAUUUUCUGGUAUAAAUAAGCACUGCCAAGGGUUGAGAGGGACUGGUGAAUUGAGAAACCCAGGUUCCUGCUUUGGAGGAAGAAAUUUAUGUAGAAUGGUUUCUUUGAGGCUCUAUUAGAGAAAAAGGCAGAGCCUCAGUGAAGCCUGCACCCGACCCUGGAGUGGUUCAGUGUAAUCCUAGGCAGAAGAGAUGCUGUAUCCAGACGAGGGUGGCCAUUGAGUUUCUCAGGGCUGGUGUCACCUUGUCACCUGGUGUAGCCUCCGUCCACACUGCCUAGAACAGGUUGGUAGAGAGCUCCAGCUGUGGGGUUCUCCUGUUACCUUCUGCCCCUCUCUACCUCUUCCACUCUCAUGGGAGCACCUCUAUUGCUUAUGAAAAUUAAGGGUAAUAUUUCUUAAGGAAGUGGAAAGAGUUUAUUUUAAUUAGAAAUCCACAGCCUGAGAAAUGUUUCCUCCUAGCAUAAGCAAAAUCAUGUUAAACUCUUACAUGGUCCCUUCUCUAGAGCUGCUUUCCCAUGACUUUCAAAACAUCAGGCUAUUGAGGGGCUUCAGUUCUAAUAUCCUGGAAGUCCAGCAAAGCUUUGUGGACAGGAGAUGAGCCCAGGGAGUAGGAGCAAAAGUGAAUGGUUGUGGUGCUUUAGACUUCCAGGGUAGGGCAGAAAACAGGCGGUCUCCAGGUCCAAGGUGGGUGCUGCUGUGUGUGCAUGUAGAGUGUAUUGAAGAUGGGUGAGUGCAGCACACGGGAGCUCAUGGGAAGAGCAGCUUUCUAAGUCUUGGCGAAGAAACAAGCUGACAAUAGAGAUCUAUAUAUUUUUUAGAAAGGGGCGGGGGGGGGGUUGUCAGCUGAGGUCCAUCACUGGUCUUUUGCCCCCUCCCUCCCCAUAGAUUGUCAGCUGUAAGUGAAACUCUUAGUGAAAAUGAGGGGAACCCUGUAGGAGUCCCCAUAAACAUGUACUGUAAUUCUUUGUAUAUAGAAAAAAAAUUACUGUAAAGUAAAGUUUAACUUUACUC
rnacentral:lncRNA from 1 species